AUUGAACGCUGGCGGCAUGCCUUACACAUGCAAGUCGAACGGUAACGUGCCUUCGGGUGCCGCCGAGUGGCGUACGGGUGAGUAACACAUCGUAACGUUCCCGAUCGUUGCGGGUAACGAGUCGUAAUCUUUGCUAAUACCUCCUACGAUCUACUGUUUCACGCUUGGGACCGCCAGGCCUUGCUCGGCCGGUUCGGCCGAUGGCAGCUUAGGUAGUCGGUGGGAUAAAAGUUUACCAAGCGGACGAUCUGUAGCUGGUCUGAGAGGAUGAUCAGCCACACUGGGACUGAGACACGGCAGAGACACCUACGGGAGGAAGCAGUGGGGAAUGUUGGACAAUGGGGGAAAGCCUGAUACAGCAAAGCCGCGUGAAGGAUGAAGGACUUAGGGUUGGAAACUGAUGAUGGACGGAACGAAAAGAAGUCUUUUAAUACAGGAGGGUAAUGACGGUACCGUAAGAAUAAGCACCGGCUAACUACGUG
rnacentral:rRNA from 1 species